rnacentral:rRNA from 1 species
UACGUAGGGUGCAAGCGUUGUUCGGAAUCAUUGGGCGUAAAGCGCGUGUAGGCGGUCAGGCAAGUCGAAUGUGAAAUCCCCCCGGCUCAACCGAGGAAGUGCAUACGAAACUGCCUGGCUAGAGGACGGUAGAGGAAGGUGGAAUUCCUAGUGUAGAGGUGAAAUUCGUAGAUAUUAGGAGGAUACCGGUGGCGAAGGCGGCCUUCUGGGCCGAUCCGUAACGCUGAGACGCGAAAGCGUGGGGAG